rnacentral:rRNA from 1 species
GACGAACGCUGGCGGCGUGCUUAACACAUGCAAGUCGAGCGAUGAAGUUCCUUCGGGAACGGAUUAGCGGCGGACGGGUGAGUAACACGUGGGUAACCUGCCUCAUAGAAGGGAAUAGCCUUCCGAAAGGAAGAUUAAUACCGCAUAAGAUUGUAGUUUCGCAUGAAAUAGCAAUUAAAGGAGUAAUCCGCUAUGAGAUGGACCCGCGUCGCAUUAGCUAGUUGGUGAGGUAACGGCUCACCAAGGCGACGAUGCGUAGCCGACCUGAGAGGGUGAUCGGCCACAUUGGGACUGAGACACGGCCCAGACUCCUACGGGAGGCAGCAGUAGGGAAUAUUGCACAAUGGGGGAAACCCUGAUGCAGCAACACCGCGUGAGUGAUGACGGUCUUCGGAUUGUAAAGCUCUGUCUUUAGGGACGAUAAUGACGGUACCUAAGGAGGAAGCCACGGCUAACUACGUGCCAGCCGCCGCCGUAAUAC